ACAGAGGGUGCAAGCGUUGUCCGGAAUCACUGGGCGUAAAGGGCGCGUAGGCGGCCCGAUAAGUCGGGGGUGAAACGCUGCGGCUUAACCGCAGCACGGCCUUCGAGACUGUCAGGCUUGAGCACGGUAGAGGCUGGUGGAAUUCCCGGUGUAGCGGUGGAAUGCGUAGAGAUCGGGAAGAACAUCGGUGGCGAAGGCGGCCAGCUGGGCCGUUGCUGACGCUGAGGCGCGACAGCGUGGGGAGCAAACAGGAUUAGAUACCCUGGUAGUCCACGCCGUAAACGAUGGGUACUAGGCGUCGGGGGGAGCGACCCCCUCGGUGCCGUCGCUAACGCAGUAAGUACCCCGCCUGGGGAGUACGGUCGCAAGACUG
rnacentral:rRNA from 1 species